UUCAGACUAUGGCACACCCUAUGCUCUUUGCCCUAUGGAGUUUAAACUCUGGAUAUCUCUCAUUCUUCCCUUGUGGGGUUUAAAUCCCAGUAAAUAUUUUUUCCUACCACAAGGAGUCUCAAACUCUGGUAGCAUCUUUGGUUCAGACCAUGUUUCCAUGAAUACCCUGUGGUUGAUUACCAUCAUCAGUUAAUGCCACAUCCUUUUUUAAAGAAAUUUGCUUUGCCUCUGGGCAAUCCAAUCAAUUAUCUUUCUUUGUUUUCGCAGUUCCACUAACUAUGGAGUUUUUACUUUCUCAUUACACUAUGAGAAUACGUAGGAAAGAGGAUUUAAAUCCUCCGCGAGCAUAUUUAUUCAUUCUUUCUCUAUUCUC
rnacentral:lncRNA from 1 species